rnacentral:rRNA from 1 species
UACGUAGGGUGCAGGCGUUUAAUCGGAAUUACUGGGCGUAAAGCGUGCGCAGGCGGCUCCUUAAGUCAGAUGUGAAAGCCCCGGGCUUAACCUGGGAACUGCGUUUGAAACUGGGGAGCUAGAGUGUAGAAGAGGGGGGGUGGAAUUCCAGGUGUAGCAGUGAAAUGCGUAGAUAUCUGGAGGAACACCGAUGGCGAAGGCAGCCCCCUGGGCGUAACACCUGGACGCUACCAUGCACGAAAGCGUGGGGAGCAAA